CCACAAUCCUUUUGUGUGUAGCUGGCUGACGACGGGUAGCCAGGCCUGAGAGGGUGACCGGCCACACUGGGACUGAGAUACGGCCCAGACUCCUACGGGAGGCAGCAGUGGGGAAUAUUGCACAAUGGGCGCAAGCCUGAUGCAGCAACGCCGCGUGAGGGAUGAAUGCCUUCGGGUUGUAAACCUCUUUUAGUAAGGAAGAAGCCGCAAGGUGACGGUACUUGCAGAAAAAGCACCGGCUAACUACGUGCCAGCAGCCGCGGUAAUACGUAGGGUGCAAGCGUUGUCCGGAGUUAUUGGGCGUAAAGAGCUCGUAGGCGGUUUGUCGCGUCUGCUGUGAAAUCCCGGGGCUCAACCCCGGGCCUGCAGUGGGUACGGGCAGACUAGAGUGCGGUAGGGGAGAUUGGAAUUCCUGGUGUAGCGGUGGAAUGCGCAUAUAUCAGGAUUAUCAUCGAUGGCUAAGGCAGAUCUCCGCGCCGUUAGGGGGGGGUGGGGAGCAAACCCCCCCCGAGCGAAAGGAUUAUUUCCUCUGGUAUUCCAUGCGGUAAACUUUGAGAACUAGA
rnacentral:rRNA from 1 species